UCACACUGCCUGUCACUGCCUGUCACCAGAAGUACCAAAAUAAAGGCUUAUUGAUGUGAACAAGUGCUAUUCACAGUCUUCUUCGGGUACUCAGAUGGCGUGAUUGUGCUGCACUGAGCGGACAGGGAAAAGAACAGAAUUGAGCAUUUCUAACUCGGUAAUCUCGGUAAUGGACUCGCAGGGACUUCCCCACAACAGGAAGCUGCGGCAGGAGUGUAACAAGUGACGCUGGCGGGCAGUGGAGGCGGGCAUCGGUGUGGUGAUCGAGGCAGACGCAGAGACGAGGAAAAGCAGAGAGUGCGAGGAUGUAAAGGAGAGAAAGUCAAAGCAGUAAGAAAAACAGACGCUCUCACCUGGAGAAAUAAGGAUGUCAACAGGCACAUCCGGGAAGAAGUGGGUGGAAAAACUUGUCAGAGAGAGCUCACCAAACAAGAGAAGGAUGUCCUUGCCAAAAAGCUACAAUCGAAGGUAUCAGCCACUCUUGCCAAUGUAAAAGCCACCCUCUCUAACCUCACUACUGUGGAUAGGAAGGCCCUGGCAUCACUCAAAAGAGACCGGAACAUCACCAUCUCACCUAUGAGACUCGGAGGCGAGAUCCUACCAGUAGCUACAAAAAGAAGGUUAUCGAAUAUCUACAAAAACUAGACGGGAGCAAAACCAUUUACAGGCCAUUAUGUUACAGACUCUGCCACGGGGAAGCCAUCCCAAGUAUCUAUGGACUCCUGAAAGAUACACAAGGAAGGAGCACCACUCAGACCCAUCAGCAGCAGCAUCAACUCAGUCCAGUGAGGAGGACAAAGCCUCUGUAAAUGGGACGCCCGCUUUACCAACUGAGCUAAAUGGCACCCAAAAAAACUGGGUGUUUUUAAGGGGACCUAGAGAGACCUCCAGCUGUGCCAAAACAUGACCUAACCCAAACCAAGUGGUUUUGUUCCCUAAACCUAACCGGAGCACAAGUAUAGCGUUGUCACUUGAUAAAAUAGAGAAGUAUUUUUGUGUUUUUGUGUGUUUCAGCAUAAACAAGUUUUGACAUAUCUCUAAUGUACAGAGAUGCACAUGGAGAUUGGAUUCUACAAAGAUAACAAUAUUUUUAACCUUAGAAUAUUUAAACCCACCCACUGUCAGUGCUACAGUGUAGCUUUAUCUCUCUGCAUUGGCUUUUUACUGGAUGAAUACUGAUAGAUACUUGACAGAGUGGUUAGUGCAGCAGUGAUGAAAUCACAGUAAAGUAAAAGACAAAAGGCAUCGCUGAUCACAUUGUGUUUAUACAGUAACUGCCCCUCUAGACAACGUCUUUCGGUCAACAGGUUUAGCAGGUUUAAAGAUAAACUGAUGAACAGGUCUCUAUGCAAAAACACACAAGCAUGCGCAGAAUGUGUUCCCUCCUGGGGUUCUUCCGAGCCCUCAUGUAAUCAUCGUGCUGCGAGAGAGAUCAAGGGUGGCAACAUCAGUGUAUUCUGGCCGCAUUAAAAUGGAGCAAGCGUGCUGAUUUGGAGGAAUAGCCAUCUAAUUACCGUGCAGGAUCAGAGAAAUAAUGAGUGCAAGAGCUGGAACGCAGCAGUUGGGAGAAAUAGAUGCUGAGGCCUCUAAUGUUCAUAGUCUGAGUCUGAGUUAAACAGCAAUCUAAUGAGCUAUAGAAGGUGUUUAAAAUGAAACGCCGGAAUGUAUCUUCUCAGUGUGUCUCCAUCCUCAAGUUCAAAUACCUUUGACUGUUUCAGAUUGCUUAAGACGGCAUUAGGAAAACAUGCCGCGAUCUAUUUUGGUGCCACAGACUAUAGUACUGUUGUUAAAACUUAAAACCUCCCACGUGGUGCAAACAAUGUAAUCCUUUUAAUUGCUACCAGUCAAGCCAGAGAGCAGGCCCACACUGGGAUCCGGCGCUGGCAGAGCACUGUUGCCAAGGUGCAGCUCCAGUCCAAACUUAAAGCGGCAUGAUUGAUCGUGUAAAUGCCGCGUUACUUGAAGGACUGCAAACAGCGGGGAAGAGCACCACUGUGCAAAUAAGCAGUCCUCCUCAGCUCUGAUGUGUUCACAUCGACAUCACGCAGUUUACACUGUGCACAGCACAAAUUGUUCCCAGUUUUGAACGUAAUCACGUCCCAGCUGCCCUAAUAAUCACAUGCGCACCCACGGGAUGCGAUCUUCCUCUUCCUCCCCUCGCCUCUUUUCACUUUUUGCUGUUUCGCUGAAGCCUGGAAAUAAGUUCAAAUAUAGAAGGGGAGGGAGAGGGGGAGGACUGAGUCAUCACGAUUAACUGGACGUGUGUGUUUGUUUUCCACGUAUUAUGUCAAGCCCUUUUUCUGUCUUCACCUGUGUCCUGUUACUUAAUAUAGUCUGUGUGCUCCCUGCUGUUGUUGUCACUCCAUCUGUUUUGUUCCCCUUUCUUCAUAUCCCUUCUCCCAUGUUUUUUUUUUUAUUUUUUUCUUUUAUUCCUCGUGUUUUUCCUGGAUGGUACUUUGCAU